rnacentral:tRNA from 400 species
GCGCCCAUCGUCUAGCGGUUAGGACACCGCCCUUUCACGGCGGUAACAGGGGUUCGAUUCCCCUUGGGCGUACCA